GCUUAGCCAUAAACUUAGAUGAUGCUAUACAGCUACAUCCGCCAGGGAACUACGAGCGCUAGCUUAAAACCCAAAGGACUUGGCGGUACCUCAGACCCAUCUAGAGGAGCCUGUUCUAGAACCGAUACUCCACGUUAAACCUCACCACUUCUUGUUAAUACCGCCUAUAUACCGCCGUCGUCAGCUUACCCUGUGAAGGACCUAUAGUAAGCAAAAAGAAUAAAAUCCAAAACGUCAGGUCGAGGUGUAGCGUACGAAGUGGGAAGAAAUGGGCUACAUUUUCUAUUACAGAAUAUACGGAAAAUACACUGAAACAUGUAUUCGAAGGUGGAUUUAGUAGUAAAAAGAAAACAUAGUGUUCUUUUGAACUCGGCUCUGAGGCGCGCACACACCGCCCGUCACUCUCCCUAACAAACACUACAACUGUAAUUAACACAUUAAUAAAUUCAAGGGGAGGCAAGUCGUAACAUGGUAAGUGUACCGGAAGGUGCACUUGGAACAAU
rnacentral:rRNA from 1 species